UCCACACAUUCAAAAGGCCAAGAUGCAGAAGAAGACUAUCUUUUAUCCCGGAAAACUAAGUGUUGUUUUCCGCAAGGGACCUCUUGGGUUUCUUCUGCAGGAUCCCUCCCCUGAGGCCAAAAAUAUAAAGAAUGAUCCCAGCCUGUGUGACAAAUCGGAUCCAAAAAGGGAGGAUGUUGUGCGAGAAAACGCUUCGUCUGUGGUUCGUCAGCGAGGUGGGGAUGUCACAGAUGCUCUGGAAGUGCUGGGAGAUUACAGCCUCCAAUUUGGAAAGUAUAAAGGGAAGUGCUUCCGCUGGCUUUUGGAAAAUGAUGUGGGUUACACAAUCUAUAUCAUCCGAAACCAACAAAAGGAGGAGGAAGCUGGGAUCUGCCUGACCGAGAGCCUUCCCAAGGUGAACCUCCUAACCUUUGUGAAAUACGCACUGAGUUUUAAAGAGAUCCAAGAUGUUCUGGAUUAUGAGACCAACAGAGGCACCAGUGCAACAACCUCUGAAGAUGAUCAGCUGGUUGGUUUUGGCUCUCGGGGCAAGAGCACUUGGAAGGAAAUUUUGGACACAAGAGAAGAUGGGUACGCUGAUUUCAUUCUAAAGAGCUGCCUUCCAGGGACUAGAAUGAAAAAACUGCAGCAGUACUUGCUCCAGAAAAAAUUAUCUUCUUGUCCUCCA